rnacentral:rRNA from 1 species
CUACUGAAAGAGUUUUCGGACAAUGGAAGUAGAGGAAAGUGGCGGACGGGUGAGUAACGCGUGAGGAACCUGCCUUGAAGAGGGGGACAACAGUUGGAAACGACUGCUAAUACCGCAUGAAGCAUAGGGGUCGCAUGAUUCUUAUGCCAAAGAUUUAUCGCUUCAAGAUGGCCUCGCGUCUGAUUAGCUAGUUGGCGGGGUAACGGCCCACCAAGGCGACGAUCAGUAGCCGGACUGAGAGGUUGAACGGCCACAUUGGGACUGAGAUACGGCCCAGACUCCUACGGGAGGCAGCAGUGGGGAAUAUUGGGCAAUGGGCGCAAGCCUGACCCAGCAACGCCGCGUGAAGGAAGAAGGCUUUCGGGUUGUAAACUUCUUUUAAGAGGGAAGAGCAGAAGACGGUACCUCUAGAAUAAGCCACGGCUAACUACGUGCCAGCAGCCGCGGUAAUACGUAGGUGGCAAGCGUUGUCCGGAUUUACUGGGUGUAAAGGGCGUGCAGCCGGGU